rnacentral:rRNA from 1 species
UACGGAGGGUGCUAGCGUUGUUCGGAAUCACUGGGCGUAAAGGGCGUGUAGGCGGUCUGUUAAGUCUGAUGUGAAAUCCCCUCGCUUAACGAGGGAACUGCGUCGGAUACUGGCAGACUUGAGUACCGGAGAGGAAGGUGGAAUUCCUGGUGUAGCGGUGAAAUGCGUAGAUAUCGGGAGGAACACCGGUGGCGAAGGCGGCCUUCUGGACGGAUACUGACGCUGAGACGCGAAAGCGUGGGGAGCAAACAGG